GAUGAACGCUGGCGGCGUGCUUAACACAUGCAAGUCGAGCGAGUGAGUUCUUCGGAACGAUCUAGCGGCGGACGGGUGAGUAACACGUGGGCAACCUGCCUCACAGAGGGGAAUAGCCUCCCGAAAGGGAGAUUAUUACCGCAUAAAAUUAUCGAGUGGCAUCCCCAGAUAAUCAAAGGAGUAAUCCGCUAUGAGAUGGGCCCGCGGCGCAUUAGCUAGUUGGUGAGGUAACGGCUCACCAAGGCGACGAUGCGUAGCCGACCUGAGAGGGUGAUCGGCCACAUUGGGACUGAGACACGGCCCAGACUCCUACGGGAGGCAGCAGUGGGGAAUAUUGCACAAUGGGGGAAACCCUGAUGCAGCAACGCCGCGUGAGUGAUGAAGGUCUUCGGAUUGUAAAGCUCUGUCUUUGGGGACGAUAAUGACGGUACCCAAGGAGGAAGCCACGGCUAACUACGUGCCAGCAGCCGCCGUAA
rnacentral:rRNA from 1 species